AAGUCGUAACAAGGUUUCCGUAGGUGAACCUGCGGAAGGAUCAUUACAAAUCUUUUGCGAGAGCUGCGUGCCGUUUUACGGUGUGCAGUGACUCACAACAUUAGCACAGGGUCGCAAGGCUCUGAUGUUUACGCUUGUUUGUUUGACAGAGUUAGUUGAGAAUAAUAAAAAAAGACAACUUUUAACAAUGGAUCUCUUGGCUCUU
rnacentral:misc_RNA from 1 species